CAGCAGCCGCGGUAAUACGGAGGGGGCUAGCGUUGUUCGGAAUUACUGGGCGUAAAGCGCACGUAGGCUGCUUUGUAAGUCAGAGGUGAAAGCCCGGGGCUCAACCCCGGAUGUGCCUUUGAGACUGCAGGGCUAGAACGUCGGAGAGGUGAGUGGAAUUCCGAGUGUAGAGGUGAAAUUCGUAGAUAUUCGGAAGAACACCAGUGGCGAAGGCGGCUCACUGGACGACUGUUGACGCUGAGGUGCGAAAGCGUGGGGAGCAAUCAGGAUUAGAGACCCCUGUAGUCCCUGUCUCUUAUAC
rnacentral:rRNA from 1 species